AGUGAACGCUGGCGGCGUGCUUAACACAUGCAAGUCGAACGAGAACGGGUUAUAGCUUGCUAUAAUUGUCAGCUAAGUGGCGCGCGGGUGAGUAAUGUAUAGGUAAUAUGCCUCUUACUAAGGGAUAACAAAUGGAAACGUUUGCUAAUACCUUAUACUCCUUAUUAACAUAAGUUAAUAAGGGAAAGAUUUAUUGGUAAGAGAUUAGCCUGUAUUGUAUCAGUUAGUUGGUGGGGUAAUGGCUUAACAAGACUAUGACACAUAACUGGUUUGAGAGGAUGAUCAGUCACACUGGAACUGAGACACGGUCCAGACUCCUACGGGAGGCAGCAGUGGGGAAUAUUGCACAAUGGACGAAAGUCUGAUGCAGCAACGCCGCGUCGAGGAUGACACAUUUCGGUGCGUAAACUCCUUUUAUAUGAGAAGAUAAUGACGGUAUUAUAUGAAUAAGCACCGGCUAACUCCGUGCCAGCCGCCGCCGUAA
rnacentral:rRNA from 1 species